rnacentral:rRNA from 1 species
UACAGAGGGUGCAAGCGUUAAUCGGAAUUACUGGGCGUAAAGCGUGCGUAGUCGGUCAUUUAAGUCGGGUGUGAAAUCCCCGGGCUCAACCUGGGAACGGUCAGAUGAUACUGCUUUGCUAGAGUGCAGAAGGGGCAAUCGGAAUUCUCGGUGUAGCGGUGAAAUGCGUAGAUAUCGAGAGGAACACCUGAGGUGAAGACGGGUUGCUGGGCUGACACUGACGCUGAAGCGCGAAAGCCAGGGGAGCAAACGGG